rnacentral:rRNA from 1 species
UACGGGGGGGCAAGCGUUGUUCGGAAUUACUGGGCGUAAAGGGCUCGUAGGUGGCCAACUAAGUCAGACGUGAAAUCCCUCAGCUUAACUGGGGAACUGCGUCUGAUACUGGAUGGCUUGAGUUUGGGAGAGGGAUGCGGAAUUCCAGGUGUAGCGGUGAAAUGCGUAGAUAUCUGGAGGAACACCGGUGGCGAAGGCGGGUCUCUGGGCAGUAACUGACGCUGAGGAGCGAAAGCGUGGGGAGCGAACAGGAU